rnacentral:rRNA from 1 species
GAUGAACGCUAGCGGCAGGCUUAAUACAUGCAAGUCGAGGGGCAGCAUGAUUGUAGCAAUACAAUUGAUGGCGACCGGCAAACGGGUGCGGAACACGUACACAACCUUCCAACAAGUGGGGGAUAGCCCAGAGAAAUUUGGAUUAAUACCCCGUAACAUAGCGAUGUGGCAUCACAUUGCUAUUAUAGAUUUUUCGCUUGUUGAUGGGUGUGCGGCUGAUUAGAUAGUUGGCGGGGUAACGGCCCACCAAGUCUACGAUCAGUAGCUGAUGUGAGAGCAUGAUCAACCACACGGGCACUGAGACACGGGCCCGACUCCUACGGGAGGCAGCAGUAAGGAAUAUUGGACAAUGGACGCAAGUCUGAUCCAGCCAUGCCGCGUGAAGGAUUAAGGUCCUCUGGAUUGUAAACUUCUUUUAUAAGGGACGAAAAAGGGCUUUUCUAAGUCGUCUGACGGUACCUUAUGAAUAAGCACCGGCUAACUCCGUGCCAGCAGCCGCCGUAACAC